UUCCUUGGAACAGGACGUCAUAGAGGGUGAGAAUCCCGUAUGAUGAGGAGUGCAGUUCUAUGUAAAGUCCCUUCGAAGAGUCGAGUUGUUUGGGAAUGCAGCUCUAAGUGGGUGGUAAAUUCCAUCUAAAGCUAAAUAUUGGCGAGAGACCGAUAGCGAACAAGUACAGUGAUGGAAAGAUGAAAAGAACUUUGAAAAGAGAGUGAAAAAGUACGUGAAAUUGUUGAAAGGGAAGGGCAUUUGAUCAGACAUGGUGUUUUGCGCCCUCCGCUCCUUGUGGGUGGGGGACUCUCGCUUCUCACUGGGCCAACAUCAGUUUUGGCGGCAGGAUAAAUCUACAGGAACGUGGCUUGCUUCGGGAAGUGUUAUAGCCUGUGGGAAUACUGCCAGCCGGGACUGAGGACUGCGACUUUUGUCAAGGAUGUUGGCAUAAUGGUUAUAUGCCGCCCGUCUUGAAACACGGACCAAGGAGUCUAACGUCUAUGCGAGUGUUUGGGUGUAAAACCCGUACGCGUAAUGAAAGUGAACGUAGGUUGGGGCCCUGUCAUGGGGUGCACAAUCGACCGAUCCUGAUGUUUUCAGAUGGAUUUGAGUAAGAGCAUAGCUGUUGGGACCCGAAAGAUGGUGAACUAUGCCUGAAUAGGGUGAAGCCAGAGGAAACUCUGGUGGAGGCUCGUAGCGGUUCUGACGUGCAAAUCGAUCGUCGAAUUUGGGUAUAGGGGCG
rnacentral:rRNA from 1 species